UACGGAGGGGGCUAGCGUUGUUCGGAAUUACUGGGCGUAAAGCGCACGUAGGCGGCUUUGCAAGUUAGAGGUGAAAGCCCGGGGCUCAACUCCGGAAUUGCCUUUAAAACUGCAUCGCUAGAAUUGUGGAGAGGUAAGUGGAAUUCCGAGUGUAGAGGUGAAAUUCGUAGAUAUUCGGAAGAACACCAGUGGCGAAGGCGACUUACUGGACACAUAUUGACGCUGAGGUGCGAAA
rnacentral:rRNA from 1 species